GUGCCAGCCGCCGCGGUAAGACGAACCGUGCGAACGUUGUUCGGAUUCACUGGGCUUAAAGGGCGCGUAGGCGGGCAAGCAAGUCAGGGGUGAAAUCUUUCAGCUUAACUGGAAAACAGCCUUUGAUACUGCGUGUCUGGAGGAAGGUAGGGGCAUGUGGAACUUCCGGUGGAGCGGUGAAAUGCGUAGAUAUCGGAAGGAACGCCGGUGGCGAAAGCGACGUGCUGGACCUUUUCUGACGCUGAGGCGCGAAAGCCAGGGGAGCAAACGGGAUUAGAAACCCCGGUAGUCC
rnacentral:rRNA from 1 species